rnacentral:lncRNA from 1 species
GAGGAAUUUCAUUCCCCAUCCUGACAAUUUCUACAGGUGGGACUAUUAAUAAUUCCAAUUAAAUGAAGGUGCCUUCUAAGAUGACAAUAAGGAACCCCAUAAUAAUCCUAGUUUCAUUUCUAUGCAGAGAAAGCAACUCUUUAGUUCUUUGUACAGAGGAGCCCAAAAUGAGAGCUUUCACCUGCCUAAAUCCAGGAGUAGAUCUCCAGUAAAUGAAAUGCUGAGCUGUCAACCAAUCCUUGACAAUCUACCCAAAUUUAUCAAAUCUGAUGCUCAGAGCAGACUUAGGUCCAAUAAGCAAUUUCAUUGCCCUUCUCUUGUAAAAGAUCAACUUCAUUGACCACUAUCUUGGAGUCUGAGUAGCCCUCCUUGAUAAUGGCCAUCCAAAGGGAAGUCAAUGCUUCAGAGUAUAAUCCUAGUUGAGAACACAGG